rnacentral:misc_RNA from 1 species
UGUCGCGUGGGGUAACGCCUGGGAAAAAAAACGAGGACGUCGGCAUGUGCGCAACUACGGCUUCGAAACUGGCUUCCGUUCGCCCAACUGUUUGUGCCGAGCGUCGGUGGCUAGCCGUUCCUGCUACGCUGACCGAUUGGAGGAGCUGGUGACCGGGUGGCCAUGUUUAGCUUCCACAAGCCCAAGAUCUACCGCUCUGCGCUCGGCUGCUGCAUCUGCCGAGCCAAGUCGUCCUCAUCGCGAUUCACUGACUCCAAAAAGUAUGAGGCCGAGUUUGCGCGCUGCUUCCGCAUUGUGGCUGAGGAUCGCCGCUCGGGCGAGAUCUGCAAUGCCUGUGUGCUUCUGGUCAAGCGCUGGAAGAAGCUCCCACCCGGUACCACCAGAGACUGGCAUCAUGUGGUUGACGCGAGGGCAGGUCCCGGGACGAAGUCGGUGAACAAGGGCAAGGUGAAACCGCCAAAGCGGCCGCUCAAAAAGCACCAUCGACUGACCGCUGAGAAGCGGUGCAAGCUAGACCUGAGUGGCGGCGCCCUCUCGGACGACAUCACCAUUGGCGAUGAGAGCCUGAGUGAAUCGUCGAUGCCGUCACCGCCAGAGAGCCGUGCAGCCAGUCCGACCCCAAGCAACUCGUCCGAGGACUCCGGCAUUUUGGACGAGGACGAGGAAGAGUAUGAUGACGAAGACCGUCGCCGGAGCUGCCGCACGAUGAAGUCACGACCAUCGAAGAAGAAAAAGAAGAAGCGGAAGCAGCGAGGCAGCGGGAGCAGCCGCAGGGACGACUACGUGGUUGAAUCGUCUGCCAACAGGCGGGGGAAACUGGCAACGCCUUUUAAAAUCUCCUCCUUUCUCGACAUGAGCUUCUGGAGGAAGGAGAAGGUCUGCUGUGGCAUCAUCUUCAAGGGGCCGCACGGCGAGGUGUUGAUCUAUCCCAAGCUCCUGCGGCCUUGCCGAUGCAGACGGUUGCGCCUGAAUGCCGCAAAGGUGCCUGCUGAAGUCACCGAUGUCGCCGAGCGCAGCACCCGUCUUACGGCAGAGGACACUGACACGUCGACAAUGCCAAUGGACACGUCACCAUCCUCUGCCAUAGAGUCGUCACCUGCGCCGGUUACCACGGUACUGAUGCCCGAGGCGUUGCCAACAGACGACAUGGGCACAUCUGCCGCACUCCUCUUUCCCACGCCCGAGAUAUCGGACUGCAACCCAAGCAGUCCAGACGCUUCUGAAAACCUCUCACGCGGUUCCACCUCGCCAGACGGGGCCAGCGAUUAACGUUGGCUUAUGCCUUAGGGUGUCCCACAAAUUAUUUUUUUUCUUUCUUCCAUUUGUUUUCUGUUUUUUAUUUAUGUCCUCCCACUCUCCUUGUUAGAUUCUUGUUCAUUUUGUAAUCUCAACUGUAUAUUCCCACCUCCACCCCUCCCCAACAUACCCAGUCCCUCCGGACUUGUUAAUCAUGCCCUGCACCUUGACCUAAUUUAUUGCCCUUAACUUAUUCCCUUGUUAUGACAAAUGCAGGUUGUUUUUCUUCCGUUGUCAUGCUUAGUUGGCAAAAGCUUCUUUGGGUGGGGAAACUGACACAAGCAUCAUUAUGUUUUCGUCCUGUUGCUUCUGUACCAGUCUUUAAGCUCUGCAUGCGUUAAGCUUCAUUUUGUUCUUCUUUUGCAUGUUUGAAACAUCUGUCUUGGAUGUACCUUUCUUUUCUUUAACACAGCUUUAAGUGUCAUGCCUGCAAUGAGGCUUAGUCACCGAGCUUCUCUUGCUGGCAGUGCUGCUGUGUUUUCUAAACUUUACAGUUUGUGUCGGUCACGUUCAGUCUUUAACAUUGCAGAUGUAUUGCUACGUCACGUGAUUUUUUCUUUUUUUUUUUGACCUCGUCCUGUUGUUAAAUUUGACAUUUUAUCCGACUUUGACAAUGAACUUCAGUGAAUUUCGUCAUCCCACACAUCUCCCCACUCACAGGGAGAUCUGUGAAGCUUUUUGCCAUAGCAGCAUGUCAAGUCACACGACUCUUGUUUUAGUUUACACACUAAAUGAUUUGCAAUUGUGCCCAAGCAUUUUUUCAGAAGAACUGUUUGCGUUUGGUGUGCAUCAACACCAGAAAUUUGCCAUUGUGCAUUCUGGUGGGAGAAACUGCUGCGCAUUUCGUUGCUUUGACUCGGACCAAUUUUAAAAGCCAUGUUGUUUUCUUUUCUUCUUGCUUUUAAGGCCAGCGAGUGCAGUUUUCAUACAGUACAUUCCAAGCCUCGCACAGCAUUGAGCCUUGACGCUUCAUUACUGGAAUUUCCUUCUGCCUUUUCAGUUCUCCGUGAAAGUAAUAAUGCCUGUAAAGUGAAUUGCGACUACAGGCACCAUUUCCAAUGAAUUUUGUGUUGUACCUGGUUGUAUAUCUUCAUUAUGCUUGCAGGCCGUUGUAUACCUCGAAUAUCAAGAAAGCUUAUGAACGGCUCCUUUUUUUUUUUUCUGCUGCAUUUUUGGCAGCGAUACGGUCUAAUCAUGUCAUUUCUGGAACAAAAAAAAAAGGAAAGGUACCCGCAAUCGUGCAAGUUAUGUUGUCAUUCACACCUCGUUCCGACAACGAGUACAUCAAAGUGGUGAGAGAGCGCAUCACUUCUUCGCCAAGUGCAUUCUCUGUGGGGGGUGUUUGAGUUCUGCAGUGGUGUCGUGUUGUGACGCCAUCGCGGAUUUUGUCCCCGGGGUUCGCUUCUACUGCGGGGGUACUUACUCUCUUCCCACAACCUAUGAAGCAGUAUUUUGCCAUCUAGUAGUUGGUUCCUCGCCAGCUCCUUGGCUGUCACCAGCCUUGCUCACCACAAAUAUGCACAGUUCCGACAGGAGGCGAUGAAGUGUUUGCACCGGAUCCCAUGGAAACGCCUUGUUGUCCCAAGACUUGCCCUGAACAACGGCGUGGUCAUCCCUCGCGGGGAAAAAAAAAAGGAGGCCGCGCGCCG